rnacentral:misc_RNA from 1 species
GAUGAAGAACGUAGCGAAAUGCGAUAAGUAAUGUGAAUUGCAGAAUUCAGUGAAUCAUCGAAUCUUUGAACGCACAUUGCGCCCCCUGGUAUUCCGGGGGGCAUGCCUGUUCGAGCGUCAUUUCACCACUCAAGCCUCGCUUGGUAUUGGGCAUCGCGGUCCGCCGCGCGCCUCAAAUCGACCGGCUGGGUCUUCUGUCCCCUAAGCGUUGUGGAAACUAUUAGCUAAAGGGUGUUCGGGAGGCUACGCCGUAAAACAACCCCAUUUCUAAGGUUGACCUCGGAUCAGGUAGGGAUACCCGCUGAACUUAAGCAUAUCAAUAAGCGGAGGA